UAUGUACAUGACUAUAAUGUUAAUGCACCAAAUCCCAUUAGAACUUUGCAUUUAAGCACACUUGGGAUAGAGUAGUACUGGGAUGGGUGACUGCCCAGAAAGUCCUAGUGCUUUACAUGC
rfam:Picea glauca, whole genome shotgun sequence.